AUGAACGCUGGCGGCGUGCCUAAUACAUGCCAGUCGAGCGAACGGACGAGAAGCUUGCUUUUCUGAUGUUAGCGGCGGACGGGUGAGUAACACGUGGAUAACCUACCUAUAAGACUGGGAUAACUUCGGGAAACCGGAGCUAAUACCGGAUAAUAUUUUGAACCGCCUGGUUCAUAAGUGAAAGACGGUCUUGCUGUCACUUAUAGAUGGAUCCGCGCUGCAUUAGCUAGUUGGUAAGGUAACGGCUUACCAAGGCAACGAUGCAUAGCCGACCUGAGAGGGUGAUCGGCCACACUGGAACUGAGACACGGUCCAGACUCCUACGGGAGGCAGCAGUAGGGAAUCUUCCGCAAUGGGCGAAAGCCUGACGGAGCAACGCCGCGUGAGUGAUGAAGGUCUUCGGAUCGUAAAACUCUGUUAUUAGGGAAGAACAUAUGUGUAAGUAACUGUGCACAUCUUGACGGUACCUAAUCAGAAAGCCACGGCUAACUACGUG
rnacentral:rRNA from 1 species